UGACGCGAGACUUUCUGAGUAGGCGGGGAGAACUGAGUCUUGGUCUCGCUUCGCCCGAUUUGCACUCGGCGUGUGACGAGUCGUGCGACCCAUCUUCGAGGAAAAGCAAAACAAACAUGGGAGAGUGGUGGACAGUGGAUAAGGGAAGAAAUCAUGUCAGUUUCUCAAUCUUAACUGGCUAAGGUGACUCUCCUCACUCUCCUUCAAUAAUCUCAAAGCUGAGUCCAGGAGUCCCCGAAAUUAAAGAGAAUGGAGUCAGGUGGUCAGCGUCAACUCAAGAAAGAAAGCCCGGAGCAGGAGUAAACCCUUCAAUGGAGUGAGAGAAGAUUAAUUUAAGGUCAAGCAGAUAUUUAUCAGUGCGAGGCACUGCUCCUGGCAUUCCCAAGAAGUCAAAAGCAGCCGGAGUGUGAAGGAGAUAAGAAAGUAAAAGCCCAACUGCAAUAGAAAAAG